rnacentral:misc_RNA from 1 species
UCUCCGUUGGUGAACCAGCGGAGGGAUCAUUGCUGGAAGCGUCUCACGGCGCACCCAGAUACCCUUUGUGAACCUAUACCUAUCUGUUGCCUCGGCGCAGGCUGGGAGCUUCUGUAAACUCCCCCACGCGGACUCACCUCUGCGCGGAGCAGGCCCGCCGGCGGCCCCUUACUCUUUGCCUCUCGCGUUGUCUCUCCGAGUAUCGCAGAAUGCAUAAAAACUUUCAACAACGGAUCUCUUGGUUCUGGCAUCGAUGAAGAACGCAGC